AGAAUCAACGCUGGCGGCGUGCCUAACACAUGCAAGUCGAUCGAGAAAGUGGAGCAAUCCAUGAGUAAAGAGGCGCACGGGUGAGUAACACGUGACUAACCUACCUUCGAGUGGGGAAUAACCUGGGGAAACCCGGGCUAAUACCGCAUAAUACCUACGGGUCAAAGGAGCAAUUCGCUUGAAGAGGGGGUCGCGGCAGAUUAGUUAGUUGGCGGGGUAAUGGCCCACCAAGACGAUGAUCUGUAUCCGGCCUGAGAGGGCGCACGGACACACUGGAACUGAAACACGGUCCAGACUCCUACGGGAGGCAGCAGUGGGGAAUUUUGCGCAAUGGGGGAAACCCUGACGCAGCAACGCCGCGUGGAGGAUGAAGUCCCUUGGGACGUAAACUCCUUUCGACCGGGACGAUUAUGACGGUACCGGAUGAAGAAGCCCGGCUAACUUCGCGCCAGCAGCCGC
rnacentral:rRNA from 1 species